rnacentral:lncRNA from 1 species
UUUCUAUCCAAUAAUACAGAUCAAGUGUGCAUAGUGAUUCUAUUUUGUUUUUUAUUUUUCUUUAUUUACUUUUUCUUUUCUUUUUCUGUUCCAUUUCCAUCCAAUAAUGCUGAUAAAGUUUAAACUAUAAUAAAUAGAUAGAAAUUUGCACUGAACAACGUAUUAAAACAAAGAGGACACUGUAUUAAAAGGACGCAACAACAAUCAACUCCUAUUACGAAAGAAAAGGAUGAAAACAUAAAAACACAGAACUUAGCUACUCACGACGCAAACAUAUGGAAAAUCCUAAAAGAAAGAGAAAAAAGAUGACAGCAAAAGGAAGGAUGAAAUAAAAAAAGAAGAAAGAAGGAAGAAAAAAGAUAAAGUCUAGUUUUUGCGGUCAAAGGUGUCUUCGAUCGGAUCUUCAUCGGUU